GCUGGCGGCAGGCCUAAUACAUGCAAGUCGAGCGCGCCCUUCGGGGUGAGCGGCGGACGGGUUAGUAACGCGUGGGAACGUGCCCUUCUCUAAGGAAUAGCCUCUGGAAACGGAGAGUAAUACCUUAUACGCCCUUCGGGGGAAAGAUUUAUCGGAGAAGGAUCGGCCCGCGUUAGAUUAGAUAGUUGGUGGGGUAAUGGCCUACCAAGUCUACGAUCUAUAGCUGGUUUUAGAGGAUGAUCAGCAACACUGGGACUGAGACACGGCCCAGACUCCUACGGGAGGCAGCAGUAGGGAAUCUUGGACAAUGGGGGCAACCCUGAUCCAGCCAUGCCGCGUGAGUGAAGAAGGCCUUAGGGUCGUAAAGCUCUUUCGCCUGUGAUGAUAAUGACAGUAGCAGGUAAAGAAACCCCGGCUAACUCCGUGCCAGCAGCCGCGGUAAUACGGAGGGGGUUAGCGUUGUUCGGAAUUACUGGGCGUAAAGCGCGCGUAGGCGGAUUGGAAAGUUAGAGGUGAAAUCCCGGGGCUCAACCCCGGAACUGCCUUUAAAACUCCCAGUCUAGAGUUCGAGAGAGGUGAGUGGAAUUCCAAGUGUAGAGGUGAAAUUCGUAGAUAUUUGGAGGAACACCAGUGGCGAAGGCGGCUCACUGGCUCGAUACUGACGCUGAGGUGCGAAAGUGUGGGGAGCAAACAGGAUUAGAUACCCUGGUAGUCCACACCGUAAACGAUGAAUGCCAGUCGUCGGGUAGUAUACUAUUCGGUGACACACCUAACGGAUUAAGCAUUCCGCCUGGGGAGUACGGUC
rnacentral:rRNA from 1 species